GCUGGGCAUGGUGGUGCAUGCCUGUAAUCCCAGCUUCUUGGGAGGCUGAGGCAGGAGAAUCACUUGAACCCAGGAGGUGGAAGUUGCAAUGAGCCGAGAUCGUGCCACUGCAGUCCAGCCUGGGUGACAGAAUGAGAAUCUGUCUCAA
ensembl:misc_RNA Metazoa_SRP Metazoan signal recognition particle RNA